rnacentral:lncRNA from 1 species
GGCGGGGGCAGCGCCGGCUGCGGAGGGAAACGCUUCGCUCUCCGCGCUCCGGGACCGGCGCCUGCUGCGGUGCGGAUGCGUAUGGACGAAUCGUCGUGAAAACAGCUCCCGACGUUUUCCCCUUAAAAAAAAAAAAAAAAAAAACAAAACCAAAAAAAAAACACCAAACCCAAACAAACCGCCCACUUGGAUAAUUAAAACGGUUUUUGGCAGUAUCCAGUGUUGCUAAGGCUGAUUGAAUUCCUACUACCAGUCCUACUCCCAAAGGCAGCUUUUCUAAGCUGAUUCCUGACACAGGAGAUGAAUCCUGCUGCAGAUGAGGAGCACAGGGACCUGUCGCCUUCACUCCACUUCCAGCAAACUCUCCUGAGAGCAAAUCUCCCUCAAAGCUGUUCUGGUGAUCACACAGCAGAAAAAUAAUUCCCCAACUGUUGCACCAGGGUAUAGUCUGAAAAUUAUGUUUUCUUACCUUAUAGAUUGAAAUAGAGAUCUUUUCCAGGCACACAUUUGAAAAUAUUGUUUUGCUACUGAACUUCCUUCUUGCAAAAGAGUUUCAGAGGAAGGUCUGUCAGUGAAAGAGGUUUGGGACUUGCAGCUGCACACACAAGUGUUUUCAGAGGGCUGUCAGAGAACACAUGGCCUCAAAGCAUAAGGACAAGUGGGAAGUGGGAGAAACAAGGCUGCAUUUUAUGACUGUUCAAGCAAACUAAAACUGCCUCUAAAUCUCCUUCCUCCAGCACUGCCUUGUGAUUCCGACAGGUUUCAAGCCCUUACCCGAAAAGGCAGUUUUUUUAGAACACAAGCAAAGCCAUUCUGCAUUUUCAGCUCCCUGUUCCAAUUUACUUGAUAUCAAUGAAAACAAGUCACUCCUGCCUAGUAAGAAAGUAGUUGUACAAAUCAGAUAAAAAAUAGGUAAUUAGUCACUUCUUUGAUUCACUACCAAUCAAAAAAAUAAAGGAAAAAAAAAAACCUUCA